rnacentral:misc_RNA from 1 species
AAGUCGUAACAAGGUUUCCGUAGGUGAACCUGCGGAAGGAUCAUUGCAAAAAGAGUGUGAGAUAUGUUGGAAUGUGAGUAGAUGAUAUUUGACAAUAACUUUUACCAAUUUCUAUACAACUCUCCACAAUGGAUCUCUGGGCUCUU